AGGGCGUACGGUGAAUGCCUUGGUGCCAACAGGCGAAGAAGGACGCGGCAAGCUGCGAAAAGCCUCGGGAAGCUGCAAGCAAGCGAUGAUCCGGGGAUAUCCGAAUGGGGUAACCUGAUCGAGGCAAUACUCGAUCGUUCAUACCUGAAUACAUAGGGUAUGAAACGCGAAACCCGCUGAAGUGAAACAUCUCAGUAAGCGGAGGAAAAGAAAGAGAAAUCGAUUCCGUAAGUAGUGGCGAGCGAAAGCGGAUGGAGCCCAAACCGAAGGUAUUCCUUCGGGGUUGUAGGACCACGACCUAUUCGACCAUACUGGAUAGUAGAACAGCCUGGAAAGGCUGGCCGUAGAAGGUGAAAGCCCUGUAGACGAAAUCCAGAGUGGGAAUUAGUGGUAUCCUGAGUAAUACAUCACACGUGGAACGAUGUAUGAAACCGCGCGGACCACCGCGCAAGGCUAAAUACUAGUUGGCGACCGAUAGUGAACAAGUACCGCGAGGGAAAGGUGAAAAGAACCGCUGUGAGCGGAGUGAAAUAGAACCUGAAACCGUAUGUCUACAAAGUGUCAGAGCAGAGCAAUCUGCGAUGGCGUGCCUUUUGUUUAAUGAGUCUGCGAGUCAGUGUUUGUGGCAAGACUAAGGGCUUCCGGCCCGGAGUCGCAGCGAAAGCAAGUCCGAACAGGGCGCAAUAAGUCGCAGGUACUGGACCCGAAGCGGAGGUGACCUACCCUUGGCCAGGUUGAAGCAUGGGUAAAACCAUGUGGAGGACCGAACAGGUGAACGUUGAAAAGUUCUCUGAUGAGCUGAGGGUAGGAGUGAAAGGCUAAUCAAACCCCGUGAUAGCUGGUUCUCUUCGAAAUGCAUUUAGGUGCAGCGUCACGUGCUGAUGCGCGGGGGUAGAGCACUGACAAGGCUAGGGGGCACACCCGCUUACCAAACCUUAUCAAACUCCGAAUACCGUGCAAUGGAACGUGGCAGUGAGACAGUGGGGGAUAAGCUUCAUUGUCGAGAGGGAAACAACCCAGACCAGCAGCUAAGGUGCCUAAAUAACGCUCAGUGGAAAGGAUGUGGGAUUACACAGACAGUGAGGAUGUUGGCUUAGAAGCAGCCACCAUUUAAAAAAUGCGUAAUAGCUUACUCAUCGAGUGAUCCUGCGCCGAAAAUGAUUGGCGAUCAAGCGUUAUACCGAAGCUCUGGACUUUGCCGCAAGGCAGAGUGGUAGAAGAGCGUUGCAUGCGCGUCGAAGGGUGAUGGCGACUGACCCUGGAGCACAUGCAAGUGAGUAUGCAGACAUGAGUAACGUUAAGCCGGGUGAAAUCCCCGGCCGCCGUAAACCCGAGGUUUCCAGGGCAACGUGUUUCGUCCCUGGGUUAGCCGGGACCUAAGCCGAGGCCGAGAGGCGUAGGCGAUGGACAUCAGGUUAAUAAUCCUGAGCUCGCGACCCUUAAACUGGGGGGACGCAUGAGAAAAGAUGACUAGGUUAUUGAAUUCCGAGUUGAGUCUACGGACUCAGCGCAUCAUUGGAUCGAGUGCCAAGAAAAGCCCCAGCGUAUGCUAAGCGACCCGUACCGCAAACCGACACAGGUGGGUGGGUAGAAUAUACCAAGGCGUAAGAGUGAAACCUGGUUAAGGAACUCGGCAAAUUAACCCCGUAACUUCGGAAGAAGGGGUGCCUGCAGCGAUGCAGGCCGCAGAGAAAUGGCCCAACCGACUGUUUAUCAAAAACACAGCACUCUGCAAAGACGCAAGUCGAAGUAUAGGGUGUGACACGUGACCAAUGCCGAAAGAUUAAGGCAAGGGGUUAGCCGCAAGGCGAAGCUCUGAACCCAAGUCCCGGUGAAUGUCGGCCGUAACUAUAACGGUCCUAAGGUAGCGAAAUUCCUUGUCGGGUAAGUUCCGACCUGCACGAAUGGCGUAACGACUUCUCCGCUGUCUCAACCGCGAACUCGGUGAAAUUGCAGUACGAGUAAAGAUGCUCGUUUCCCGCAGAAGGACGGAAAGACCCUAUAGACCUUAACUGUAAGCUGUCAUUGUUUCUUCGGUUUUAAUGCUCAGAGUAAGUGGGAGACGCUGAAGACGCCCUUUAGGGGGCGUCCGAGUCAUCAAUGAGACACCACCCUUUGAAACUGGAGGAUCUAACCCUGAGCCGUGAAUCCGGCCAGAGGACCGUGUCAGCCGGUCAGUUUUACUGGGGCGGUAUCCUCCCAAAGAGUAACGGAGGAGCGCGAAGGUGGGCUCAGCCCGGUUGGCAACCGGGUGUCGAGUGCAUGGGCAUAAGCCCGCCUAACUGUGAGACCAACAAGUCGAGCAGAUGCGAAAGCAGGCCCAAGUGAUCCGGCGGUAGAAAGUGGAAUUGCCGUCGCUCAACGGAUAAAAGGUACCUUAGGGAUAACAGGCUGAUCACGCCCAAGAGUUCAUAUCGACGGCGUGGUUUGGCACCUCGAUGUCGGCUCGUCGCAUCCUGGGGCUGGAGAAGGUCCCAAGGGUCCGGCUGUUCGCCGGUUAAAGCGGCACGCGAGCUGGGUUCAGAACGUCGCGAGACAGUUCGGUCCUCUAUCCUCUGUGGGCGUUGGAAAAUUGAGGGGUUCAGACCUUAGUACGAGAGGACCGGGUCUGACGCACCACUGGUGCAUCGGUUGUACUGUCAAGUGCAUGGCCGAGUAGCUAAGUGCGGACGGGAUAAGCGCUGAAAGCAUCUAAGCGCCAAGCCCUUCCCAAGAUGAGUUUUCCCUACAGGUUCGUGGAAGACCACCACGUUGAUAGGUCGCAGGUGUAAGUGCAGCAAUGUAUUGAGCCAAGCGAUACUAAUUACCAAUUGACUUCAUC
rnacentral:rRNA from 1 species